AAAAAAGAAAACAUGAGGCUGGAUCUAGAUCUAGAUCUUUACGGGUCGCACACUUAAAAUAGUGCUCAGUAUUAGUGGUACCGGCGAAAUUCAGUGUCGGUACUUUCUGGGCACCAGGGCACCGGUACCGGUAAUGGGAGUGACUCCAGUAGUUGACGUCACAGACUUCGCGUCUUGCGUCAAGGGAUGGGCAGAUACCGGUACCCAGUACCGGAACUCUCGGUCCUACCGAAGGAGGUGUCAGUACCGGCACCUGGCCUCCAGUACCGUUGUCGUAGAAUAUUUUGGAACCAGGAUAAAUCGGAACUGUUUCCCAAAAAUCCUAGGAUAUUUCGGAACCAUUCUCAUUUAUCCUGCACCUGGCGGCAGGAUAUUUGGGAACUUCCAGGAUAUUUCGGAACCACCGCCAUCCCUGUGUGAUACGCAGUGUCUCACACUUCACAAUCAAAGGAAACAGACAAAUGAAUAAAAAUAAACAUUUUUAUUGGCAACUUUCAAACCCACAUUCAUUACAUUAUUGAAAUGCUACGUGAAAACAUAGAACCAGAGAACAAAAUGACACAUCCUUGGCAGCUUUAUAUGUGUACAUUUGGCUCACAGGCUUCAACAAAAAACUUGGCAAUGUAUCUUUUCAGUACACACUUCAAACGUUCAAAAGCAUCAAAAUAAAAGUUUU